UGAUGUGGGAGUGAUUUCUUAUUAAUAAAGAAACUGCCUUGGCCCAUUUUAUUGGAUAGAAAAUUAGGUAGGCGGAGUAGACAGAGGAGAAUGCUGGGAAAAAGAAGCU